CGUUCUUGUGAGAAAGAAGUUAGUGUUAUGCCAGGUCACAGAGCCCCCCUCGGACCGCCCCCCCUCCUCCUCCUCCCCUUCCCCCCACAAGAAGAGGAAGAGAGAGAGAGAGCGGUAAUUCAACAUGGCAGCCACGAGAAACAUCCCGAAUUUUUCCACAAAUCUCCCAGAAUUCUCCACAAAUCUCCAGAAAUUCUUCAAACUCCAGAUUUUUUAGUGCCAUCGAGAGAAAAUCAGGAGAAAGCUACCGAUUUUUCCACAAAGACUCGGAAAUUUUCAAGAUAUCCUGAUUGUUGUGUUUAUAAUGUUUAUCUUCCUCGUCCUCGUCCUCCUCCUCCUCCUCCUCCUCCUCAUAGUGUGAUAGAGUGGAGGAGGUAUCAAGAGGAGGAGGAGGAGGAGGAAGAAAGGCCUUUAGUGAUUGAUAUAGAGGAAGAGGAAGAGGAGGAGGAGGAGGAGGAGGUGGCGAAGGAAGAAGAGGAGGAGGAGGAGGAGGAGAAGAAGGAAGAGGAGGCGUUGGAUUUACGGAUUAAUAAAGUCUCACCCCCCCCACCCCCUAAGGAGCCCAUACCUCCAGAAACUCCAUAUUUGGGCAAGAUUUCAUCGAGACGAAAAAGAGAUCGUGGGCCUAAAUCUUGGGAGUUUCUGAUGCGACUUUUAGCAGAUCCAAGAACAAACCCGGAUGUCAUAAGAUGGGAGGACAGAGCACGGUACACAUUCCGCCUGGUCCAGCCCCAGGUCAUCGCCUCCCUGUGGGGUCAGAGGUCAAACAAACGCACUCUUAGCUAUAACAACUUCGCUAGAGCUUUGAGGUACCACUAUCACACCAAAUACUUGAUCCGCGUGUCAGAGAGGCAGCUGGUCUAUGGGUGUGGCCAGCCAGCCAUACACUUCCUCCAUUCCCUGCUGCACCAAGGAUGACGGGAGAGGAGAGAGAGAGAGAGAGAGAGAGAGAGAGAGAGAGAGAGAGAGAGAGAGAGAGAGAGAGAGAGAGAGAGAGAGAGAGACAGUUA